rnacentral:rRNA from 1 species
UACGUAGGGGGCAAGCGUUGUCCGGAAUUAUUGGGCGUAAAGAGCUCGUAGGCGGCUUGUCACGUCGGGUGUGAAAGCCCGGGGCUUAACCCCGGGUCUGCAUUCGAUACGGGCUAGCUAGAGUGUGGUAGGGGAGAUCGGAAUUCCUGGUGUAGCGGUGAAAUGCGCAGAUAUCAGGAGGAACACCGGUGGCGAAGGCGGAUCUCUGGGCCAUUACUGACGCUGAGGAGCGAAAGCGUGGGGAGCAAACAGG